UACGAAGGGGGCUAGCGUUGUUCGGAAUUACUGGGCGUAAAGCGCGUGUAGGCGGGUCUUUAAGUCAGGGGGGAAAUGCCAGGGCUCAACCUUGGAACUGCCUUUGAUACUGGGGAUCUUGAGUCCGGGAGAGGUGAGUGGAACUGCGAGUGUAGAGGUGAAAUUCGUAGAUAUUCGCAAGAACACCAGUGGCGAAGGCGGCUCACUGGCCCGGUACUGACGCUGAGGUGCGAAAGCGUGGGGAUCAAACAGG
rnacentral:rRNA from 1 species